rnacentral:lncRNA from 1 species
GCUCUUAAGGGCAGUUUGCCUGGGCUGGAAGAAUGGGUACAUUAGAUGUAUUCCAAACAGCCAGCUUGGGCAUGAAUACACUGCCCCAUCAGCUUUCUGGGAACUGGCACAAUAAAAUCACUUCCUGAAGUUAGAAGGUAGAGAGAACUCCAACAAGGGUAUAAAUAGUGCACAGAGUAGUUCUGCUAAAACGACAGGAUCCAGAGACACUCUCAGUCUUGGAAAUCCUACCAACAAGGAUUCAGAGUCUCACUCUGUGGCCCUGGCUGAAUGCAGUGGCACGAUCUUGGUUCACUUCAACCUCCACCUCCUGGGUUCAAGCAAUUCUCCUGCCUCAGCCUCCUGAGUAGCUGGGACUGCAGGUGUGAGCCACUACACCCGGCUAAUUUUUGUAUUUUUAGUAGAGAUGGGGUUUCGCCAUGUUGGGCAGGCUGGUCUUGAACUCCUGACCUCAAGUGAUCUGCUGUCUUUAGACUCCUGAAGUGCUGGGAUUACAGGUGUAAGCCACCUUGCUCGGCCCAAGGAAGAAUUUCUUAAUUAAAGAUGUAUACAAUACGCUAAAGGAUUAAAAAUUUACACACUACACAAAAAUUAAAUUCUACUUAUCAAUGGUCAACAUUUUAAAAAGAAAUAGAACGGGAGGAAAACACAAGAAUGCUGAGAAGCAGUAGUCUAUGGCAUCACAAGCGUCACAAGAGCAGCAUGUUUGAAGAAAGAGGAGGUUGCCAUCUGUGUUCAACGUGGCUGAGAGGUGGAGUAAGAAGACAGCAAAGUGUGCAGUGGAUGUGGAGAUGCAAGGCACACAGGCAAGCAUAACAAGAGCAGCUUCAACAGAGUAGGAGGAAACCCAGGGCAGUGCCUGGACAGCUGCUCCUCUUUCUCCUCACCCUUCCAGAAAGUGCCACGCCUCCCACUGCCCUGGAUGCCCCAUCACUUGCAUAUUCAUACCUACCCUAAAAUACUUGAAUGUAGCGGUAGGUUUCUUUUUGCUUGUAUUCUGUAACGGAAAAAGUGGAAUUAUUACCUGUUUUUUUAUUUAGCUGAUUGCACAAGCUUUUGACAAUUCUAUCAUUUUUCUGACAUCUCUCCCUCUCUGAGAAGAUGAGAAAGAGAAACCAUAAUAAAAUUGCGUCAAUCCCUAUCGUUGAAACAGGUCUUUAUUGUUUCUCAUUAACCUGAGCUUUCUGGAGGGUCCAAGGAUGAAAGCUUGAGGUGCAGCCAACCAGUGCUAAAAUCCUAAACCUCACACUCUGUGUGUAUGUGACACACUCAUGCACACACACACACACACAAAUGUGAAAGGCUCUCUUUCCCUUCCUCCUUUCCUUGUCUCUUGCAAGGUUGAACAGAUUGGUCAUUUUAACCCCAUUAUGACUUCAAUAAAGAGAAGUCAGCCUAAAGAGGGGCAGGGAAUGGGCACAGAAACCAGGUCCUGUGCUCCCCUAGGGAGCGGCUGUGUCUCAACUCAUGAGAUCUUGAAAAUAUUUCCCCCUUCCUAAAAAUUAUUCUCUUCCAGCAAAAAUAGCUUCUAAACUAUGGAAGCUCUGAUGUGCACAAGGAUUUCAAAAUGUCCCUAAUGAAGAUUAUAAUUAAAAUAUUUAAAUGGGUUUUUAAUUUUCUUUCUGGGCUGUGUUAUUUCCUAGUCCUCUUCAGGAGCUCCUAUUGUUCAGUCAUGACAGAAUCCUCUGUCAGAAAUUAUAGCCUGCUGCCUUUCAGCAUCUUCAUUAAAAUGCAGUGCUGCCAGAUAUAUCUGCAUGCAUAUGAAUGAAGCAUCUAUAGAAUAAUUAAGUCAUGAAUAACACAUUGCUGAGCAUGGCUUUUCCUGAAUAAAAAAAGAAUGCUAUUUAUGAACCCAGAAAUUUUAUAUUAUAUUAAAAAAUAAUUGGCAAUAACAAGUAUCAUUUGAGGAUUCAUUAAUUUAAAUUAUGAUUUCCCUGCUAUAAACUCCAUUUUUAAUAAAAUGGCAAUUUACAUUGGAAAAUGAAUGUGAACCUAUAUGCAAUUUUUCUUCAUUUUGCUUAAAAGGCCACCCGAAAGCUUUUGGCAAUGGGGGUUGCAUAAUUUGAAAAUCUUUUAGGUCUAUUAUAAACAAAAGGCCAUUAGCAUCACAGCAAGUUAACAGGCCUGAGUUCAAACAAAUAGUGACAUAUCAAUGGAAAAACAUAGACAGUAUUUGUGAUAUUAUAAAAUAUUUAUUUUUGGCUGUGUCCAUGGUUUCUAGCUCACAGCUCCUAUAGCCUUUAUAAUUUCCUAAGUAACUAGAAUGAUAAGGAUAUUUUUUGUUAAACUAUUUGGCCUUUUGUCUUCAGUUCCCAGAAACAGCUUCAGAGUAGCUCCAGAGUGAUGAAGGUGAAACCAGCAUUUCUGUUAUUUAUAACAAGCCCCUUUCAACCACACCUGAGACUAUGUUAAUGAGGUGAUUUUUGGAAAAUCCCUAGAUAACUACAGGAUGAAGGGUUGGUUGCCAAGGGGACUUACUGUGUGCUUAGAGGGUUGAGACUCACAGCCCCACACCCCAUCUCACAUCCAGAGAAGGAGAGAGGCUGAAGUUUAAGUUGAUCACCAGUGGCCAACAAUUUAAUCAAUCAUGUCUACAUAAUGAAGCCUCCAUAAAGUACCAGAAGAGCUGAGUUCAGGGAGCUUCCAAAUUGGUGAACAAGAAUACAUUAACCUGCUGGAAGGGUGGCACCCUCCACCUCCACAGGGACAGAGGCUCCUGGGCUUGGGACAUUUCCAAACCUUCUUU